rnacentral:rRNA from 1 species
AGUGAACGCUGGCGGUAGGCCUAACACAUGCAAGUCGAACGGCAGCACAGUAAGAGCUUGCUCUUACGGGUGGCGAGUGGCGGACGGGUGAGGAAUACAUCGGAAUCUACUUUUUCGUGGGGGAUAACGUAGGGAAACUUACGCUAAUACCGCAUACGGCCUACGGGUGAAAGCAGGGGAUCUUCGGACCUUGCGCGAUUGAAUGAGCCGAUGUCGGAUUAGCUAGUUGGCGGGGUAAAGGCCCACCAAGGCGACGAUCCGUAGCUGGUCUGAGAGGAUGAUCAGCCACACCGGAACUGAGACACGGUCCAGACUCCUACGGGAGGCAGCAGUGGGGAAUAUUGGACAAUGGGCGCAAGCCUGAUCCAGCCAUACCGCGUGGGUGAAGAAGGCCUUCGGGUUGUAAAGCCCUUUUGUUGGGAAAGAAAAGCAGCAGGUUAAUACCCCGCUGUUCUGACGGUACCCAAAGAAUAAGCACCGGCUAACUUCGUG